GACGAACGCUGGCGGCGUGCUUAACACAUGCAAGUCGAACGGAAAGGCCCUGCUUUUGUGGGGUGCUCGAGUGGCGAACGGGUGAGUAACACGUGAGUAACCUGCCCUUGACUUUGGGAUAACUUCAGGAAACUGGGGCUAAUACCGGAUAGGAGCUCCUGCUGCAUGGUGGGGGUUGGAAAGUUUCGGCGGUUGGGGAUGGACUCGCGGCUUAUCAGCUUGUUGGUGGGGUAGUGGCUUACCAAGGCUUUGACGGGUAGCCGGCCUGAGAGGGUAACCGGCCACAUUGGGACUGAGAUACGGCCCAGACUCCUACGGGAGGCAGCAGUGGGGAAUAUUGCACAAUGGACGGAAGCCUGAUGCAGCAACGCCGCGUGCGGGAUGACGGCCUUCGGGUUGUAAACCGCUUUCGCCUGUGACGAAGCGUGAGUGACGGUAAUGGGUAAAGAAGCACCGGCUAACUACGUG
rnacentral:rRNA from 1 species